rnacentral:misc_RNA from 1 species
UACGUAGGUGACAAACGUUAUCCGGAAUUACUGGGCGUAAAGCGCACGCAGGCGGUUGAUCAAGUUCGGCGUGAAAGCUCCCGGCUUAACCGGGAGAGGUCGUUGAAAACUGAUUGGCUUGAGGCGAUGAGAGGGGUGUGGAAUUCCAGGUGUAGUGGUGGAAUGCGUAGAUAUCUGGAGGAACACCAGUGGCGAAAGCGGCACCCUGGCAUCGACCUGACGCUCAUGUGCGAAAGCGUGGGGAGCGAACGGG